CCCCGUUGCCGUCUGCGGCGGAUCCAGCACUGCUCUGGCCGCUUCUCCUACAUCUAGCGCCGGCCGCACUGCUCUGGCCGCUUAUACAUCUAGCACCGGCCGCCCCCACCUUCUUCCCGUCAUCGGCGUCUGCCCAGCUCGGCAUCCCUCCAUCCUUGGCACGAAUAUGCCCUCGAUCCCUCCAUCCUCGCAUCAGCUACCUAGUGGGAUUAGACGUCAAGCUGCAGGUACAUCAGAAAUCCAAAUCCACAGGACACACUGCCGUCAGUGCACGAGAGAUUCCUCUUCAUAGCUCGUCCAACAGGUCCCUCCCCUUGAAGGCUUGAACGAGGUAAGCUUAGUGGUGGCCUACAUCAUAGUUUUGUUCUUAUCCGUGUUUUGUAUUCCACUCAUUGAUUAACUUGUGCCGUAUUGGUGCAAUGGAUCUAUGUGAGUUCAACUACAUGUGCCUAUUGUUCCAUAGAUUAGCAUCUUUGUUUUACAAGCAAAUUGGCCACACCAUUAGUUAUUGCUUUGAAUUGCAUGUGGCAACACUUAUUCUACCGAUCUUGCUGGCUUUCAAAGCAGCUAAAUUAUUUACUAACAACUAUAUUGUUUAGUUAGUUCAUCUUUGGCAUAUCUGAAUAAUAGCGUCUUACAUUUUCAAUGGCGGAAAGGGCCUAUCCAGAAUUUCUCAGCUGCAGAGGUUCCAUGUCUC